rnacentral:ncRNA from 1 species
UGCAAUAGUGAUUCUGCUCUGUACGAGAAGAACCACAAGUUCACACAUCGGGUGUCUGUGCUUGGCUGAGAAGCCAGUGGUAUGAAGAUCCUAUCUGUGGGAUUAGGACUGAAUCCCUCUAAUUCAGAACCCCCCUAUUAAAGGUA